rnacentral:rRNA from 1 species
GGUUAACGGAGCGAAAGCGACGUUCAACCUCAAAAGAAGCAGAGGGGGCUUAGUGGUGGGGUGACUGCGUACCUUUUGUAUAAUGGGUCAGCGACUUAUAUUCUGUAGCAAGGUUAACCGUAUAGGGGAGCCGGAGGGAAACCGAGUCUUAACCGGGCGUUAAGUUGCAGGGUAUAGACCCGAAACCCGGUGAUCUAGCCAUGGGCAGGUUGAAGGUUGGGUAACACUAACUGGAGGACCGAACCGACUAAUGUUGAAAAAUUAGCGGAUGACCUGUGGCUGGGGGUGAAAGGCCAAUCAAACCGGGAGAUAGCUGGUUCUCCCCGAAAGCUAUUUAGGUAGCGCCUCGUGAACUCAUCUCCGGGGGUAGAGCACUGUUUCGGCUAGGGGGCCAUCCCGGCUUACCAACCCGAUGCAAACUGCGAAUACCGGAGAAUGUUAUCACGGGAGACACACGGCGGGUGCUAACGUCCGUCGUGAAGAGGGAAACAACCCAGACCGCCAGCUAAGGUCCCAAAGUCAUGGUUAAGUGGGAAACGAUGUGGGAAGGCCCAGACAGCCAGGAUGUUGGCUUAGAAGCAGCCAUCAUUUAAAGAAAGCGUAAUAGCUCACUGGUCGAGUCGGCCUGCGCGGAAGAUGUAACGGGGCUAAACCAUGCACCGAAGCUGCGGCAGCGACACUGUGUGUUGUUGGGUAGGGGAGCGUUCUGUAAGCCUGUGAAGGUGUGCUGUGAGGCAUGCUGGAGGUAUCAGAAGUGCGAAUGCUGACAUAAGUAACGAUAAAGCGGGUGAAAAGCCCGCUCGCCGGAAGACCAAGGGUUCCUGUCCAACGUUAAUCGGGGCAGGGUGAGUCGACCCCUAAGGCGAGGCCGAAAGGCGUAGUCGAUGGGAAACGGGUUAAUAUUCCCGUACUUGGUGUUACUGCGAAGGGGGGACGGAGAAGGCUAUGUUGGCCGGGCGACGGUUGUCCCGGUUUAAGCGUGUAGGUGUGUGUUCCAGGUAAAUCCGGUUCACUUUAACACUGAGGCGUGAUGACGAGGCACUACGGUGCUGAAGCAACAAAUGCCCUGCUUCCAGGAAAAGCCUCUAAGCAUCAGGUAACAUCAAAUCGUACCCCAAACCGACACAGGUGGUCAGGUAGAGAAUACCAAGGCGCUUGAGAGAACUCGGGUGAAGGAACUAGGCAAAAUGGUGCCGUAACUUCGGGAGAAGGCACGCUGACACGUAGGUGAAGUGAUUUACUCACGGAGCUGAAGUCAGUCGAAGAUACCAGCUGGCUGCAACUGUUUAUUAAAAACACAGCACUGUGCAAACACGAAAGUGGACGUAUACGGUGUGACGCCUGCCCGGUGCCGGAAGGUUAAUUGAUGGGGUCAGCGCAAGCGAAGCUCCUGAUCGAAGCCCCGGUAAACGGCGGCCGUAACUAUAACGGUCCUAAGGUAGCGAAAUUCCUUGUCGGGUAAGUUCCGACCUGCACGAAUGGCGUAAUGAUGGCCAGGCUGUCUCCACCCGAGACUCAGUGAAAUUGAACUCGCUGUGAAGAUGCAGUGUACCCGCGGCAAGACGGAAAGACCCCGUGAACCUUUACUAUAGCUUGACACUGAACAUUGAGCCUUGAUGUGUAGGAUAGGUGGGAGGCUUUGAAGCGUGGACGCCAGUCUGCGUGGAGCCGACCUUGAAAUACCACCCUUUAAUGUUUGAUGUUCUAACGUGGACCCGUGAUCCGGGUUGCGGACAGUGUCUGGUGGGUAGUUUGACUGGGGCGGUCUCCUCCUAAAGAGUAACGGAGGAGCACGAAGGUUGGCUAAUCCUGGUCGGACAUCAGGAGGUUAGUGCAAUGGCAUAAGCCAGCUUGACUGCGAGCGUGACGGCGCGAGCAGGUGCGAAAGCAGGUCAUAGUGAUCCGGUGGUUCUGAAUGGAAGGGCCAUCGCUCAACGGAUAAAAGGUACUCCGGGGAUAACAGGCUGAUACCGCCCAAGAGUUCAUAUCGACGGCGGUGUUUGGCACCUCGAUGUCGGCUCAUCACAUCCUGGGGCUGAAGUAGGUCCCAAGGGUAUGGCUGUUCGCCAUUUAAAGUGGUACGCGAGCUGGGUUUAGAACGUCGUGAGACAGUUCGGUCCCUAUCUGCCGUGGGCGCUGGAGAACUGAGGGGGGCUGCUCCUAGUACGAGAGGACCGGAGUGGACGCAUCACUGGUGUUCGGGUUGUCAUGCCAAUGGCACUGCCCGGUAGCUAAAUGCGGAAGAGAUAAGUGCUGAAAGCAUCUAAGCACGAAACUUGCCCCGAGAUGAGUUCUCCCUGAGACUACGAGUCUCCUGAAGGAACGUUGAAGACGACGACGUUGAUAGGCCGGGUGUGUAAGCGCAGCGAUGCGUUGAGCUAACCGGUACUAAUGAACCGUGAGGCUUAACCUU